rnacentral:lncRNA from 1 species
AAUUAAUUACUAAUUAAAAUUAAUUAAUAAACUAAUUUAGAUUUUUUUUUUUGAAUAAAUAAAUAAUUAAAAACUAUUUUUGGAAUUUAAAAUAAUUAAAUAAAACAAUUUUAGAAAAUUAAAUCAAAAGGUUUAUUUUGUAAACUUUUGAAAGUUUUGUCCAGGGUUUAAAGUGCAACUUUUCAAAGUUACAGGGGGUAAUUCAUAAGUUUCAAAACCUGAGUACACAAACUUCAUCAUCUUCAAAACUUCGGUGACCAAACAGCAAUAAGCCGCCGGCCACCACACUAACUCGCCGGAAAUUCGUUUCCAGGCGUCCUCCACUCACCAUCUACUCCAGAUAAGUAGUACACACACCCAUAAAUCAAUCCCCCAUCUUUAAUUAGGCAGAAGUCGCGCGAAUUCGCCGGAAAAUCCGGCCGAAGUCGGCGACUUCCCGCCGCCGAUGGCGGCGAUUCGAGCCACCUCCGCUCAAACCAAGCACACCAGCAUACUCCCCUUUCUCUCCUCUUUCUAUUCAUAUAUN